ACGGGAGUGGCGAAAUAGGUAGACGCACCAGAUUUAGGAUCUGACGCCUUUUAGAGGUUUGCGAGUUCAAAUCUCGCCUCCCGUA
rnacentral:tRNA from 1 species